UACAGAGGGUGCGAGCGUUGUCCGGAAUCACUGGGCGUAAAGGGCGCGUAGGUGGCGCAACAAGUCAGUGGUGAAAGCUCGACGCUCAACGUCGAGUCGGCCACUGAGACUGUUGGGCCUGAGCACUGUAGAGGCUAAUGGAAUUCCGGGUGUAGCGGUGGAAUGCGUAGAGAUCCGGAAGAACACCGGUGGCGAAGGCGGUUAGCUGGGCAGUUGCUGACACUGAGGCGCGACAGCGUGGGGAGCAAACAGG
rnacentral:rRNA from 1 species